CCUUGAGCUCGGGCCGGCUGGCCGCUGGGAGGAGGAUGGACCGAAGAAAGGGAUUCAAUCCUGGGGACGAAGAAGGAAGAACAAAGGCAGGAAUAUAGAGGUAAAAGCUUCCUGGAUCCUGAGCCGGGGCCUCCGAGAGAUGGUGGGACGUAGAGCAGACUGUCUCCAGGAAGUAGAGCCUUGCCCUUGCCCUCUCCUGUGCUGACCAGAGAGUGAGCCUGGAGACAGACCACACACCCUCAGCUGCUUUCUCCUUUCAUUUUCAGUCCUCCAUUAUUUCCUUCCUGUUUUUUUUAUAACUAUUUCUGUAUGACUGUGCUGGGACUUUCUCUAGUUGCAGUGAGCAGAGGCUACUCCUCAUUGCGGUGCACGGGCUUCUUAUGGUGGUAGCUUCCCUUGUUGCAGAGUAUGGGCUCUGGGUGAUGGGUUUCAGUAGUUG
rnacentral:lncRNA from 1 species